rnacentral:lncRNA from 1 species
AAUGUCACAAAUUACACUUAGCACUUAAAGAUAGAAUAAUCUAAAAUAUUAAUAGAUAACUAAAUUGCAUCGGCAGCAUCAAGCUUCACAUUGAAAGUUAAUCUUGAUAUCUCCUGACUGAAAUAGAAUCAAAAGCCGAAUUGGAAUUGGAGUGAAUUGGAAUGCUUGAAUAAAAAUAAAGCAUAUUAUUUAAAGCAUUUU